UGCUUCUCACAGUGACCGCCACAUAGCAGUCGCUCAACAAAUGCUGGCGGACGCUCUCACUGCAAACACGCAUUUUGAGCCUGUUGAUGUGUACCUCAGUGACCUUGGGGUCAGUCACUGCCACCUUGCAGAGAGCACACAGUGGGGCCAUAGGCGGCUCCCAUGCGUAUUUUAAGUGCAGUUUUGGCUGCACUGGUGUGGCUCCUGCUGGGAGUGGGGUGGCUAUGCUGUGGGCCGAGCGUCUCAUCUAGAGUUCAUGGCCGCGUCCCCAGGACUGAGCACACACCCGGCACACAGUAGGUCUAAUAAAUAUUUGUUGAAUAGAUGAAUUAAUAAGAUGCACGGGAAGCAUCUCUGGGGCUGUGAUUUUUAACCUUUCUGAACCACUGACAUCUUUGAAAAACCCAUGGACAAAUGCACCCAAAGUGUGACGUAUAAUUUCAGGGAUUUCUGGACCUUUCCAUCCCAAGGUCACCCAUAAAGCUCAGCUUAAGAUCUUUCUACCUGGGGGAGGGGGGCUUCCUGAGAUCCCGGGGAGACGUUGGCAAAGAUGUUACCAAGACGCACACUGGGGAGCCCAACCUGCCCCAACAGGCUGGCGAAGAACGGGGUGAACGAGCCCCUUAUCCUUUACUUUCCGCUCUCCAGGAGGAGGAAAGGAAGCGAGUAUGAGGCGAUCUGGCAGGAGGGGGAGAGAGCGGGAAUCACAGGGCCAGGAGGAGAGGGAAAAGAGAAGACGCGAGCAUCAGAGAGGAGAAGGGGCGUGAUGGAGAGGCUCGGCCCCUUGGAGAGAAGAGCAGGGCCAGCCGGGGGAACAAAGAGCGAGCGCGCAGCGAGCGAGGCGCGGCGGCGCCGGGAGGGAGAGGCCGAGGCCGGCCGGCCGCCCGGGCUGUCUGAUUUUCUGUCAGCCGCCGCUGAUUAACGGGCCGCCUUCCAGCUCCAAGUGCGCCGCGCCGCGUUCCUGGCAACCGGGCGCGCAGCUUCCUGGCGGAGGCGGGGCCUGCGGAAAGGUUACAUUUGCACAAAGUGCCUCGGCGCAGCCGGCCCGGAGGGGCUGCGGGGAGGGGAGCGGGCGGGGGGAGCGUGGCGGCUGGCGAGCCAGGCGGGGAGCGAGAAAAGGCUGCGGCGCUCGGUGCUGCCUGGGUAAUGGAAAAAUUCCUCUGGGGGCCGCGCAGAAAAAUAUCAGGUUACACGCCAGCAGCACACACGGCUUCUCCGAGGGAGCCUCCUGCUGCCGCCCGCCGCGGGGCCGCCGGGCCCGGGUGGAGGGGCGUGGGGGCCGGGCUCCCCGGGGCGCCCCUGCCCCUGCGCCCCAACUCGAGCGCCCUAGCCUGCGCGCCCCGGCCCCUGCACCCCCGCUCCAGCGCCCUAGCCUGUGCGCCCCGGCCCCUGCACCGCGGCUCCAGCGCCCUAGCCUGCGCACCCCGGCCCCUGCACCCCCGCUCCAGCGCCCUAGCCUGCGCGCCCCGGCCCCUGCACCCCCGCUCCAGCGCCCUAGCUGGUGCGCUGGAGCCUGUGCACCUCGGCCCGAGGGUCUUUAUUCUGCGCGCCCCAUCCAGUGCUCUCUGGGGCCUCGCCUUGCCUUCGCAGCUCCCUUCUCUGCCUCAGAAGGCAGGUGAAGGGACCCCGCUUUCCCAAAUCCUAGUGUCCGGGACUCCCCGCUGACCAUCCCCUCUCCCCAAGAAGGCCGUUGUAUGGCUGGAGCCAGGCCUUGCAGUGAGGGCGGACGGAUCGGUCGCGUUCGCCGUGACUUGGGAAGGGUGGCUGCCACUGGCGUCUGUUCCCGCCUUCCCUCGUGGCUCGCCGGGUCUGCCGAGCUCUGAAGGACUGGACUGUUGCCUCUGGCACCCAAUUACGUGGUGUAAGCCGUGUCCCUCCGCCCCUCCGCAUUGAGUCACUCCCCUGCUCCCAGACCAUCUGCGGCUCCCUAUUACCGCCUCUACAUUCUAGUUUACACCCUCGGGUCCUGUCCAGUAUCUCGAGUGGAGUGUGAUGUCAAAACGCUCCAGCACCUGCGCACCUGCGGUGCCCCUGUCUGUUUGGGGCUGGAGGUUGAAGGGCUUCUGACCAGACACCAUCUGCCCUGUGAGCACCCCCCCCACCCCCAGCCCCUCACUGCCUCCCCCUCUCCUUCUAUCUCCCUCUCUCUCUCAUUGAACUGGUUCUGUCAAUAGACACUGUACUCAGUCGAUUCCAACUAGACAUGACCGGGCCCUGGGCCCUGGAGGGCGCCCGAGCUGAGCGGGGAGUAGCCCCUGCUCUCAGGGAACUCAAGCCCUGGCGGGCAGAGUGGAAGCUGGGUCCAGCAGAUUUGCGUUUAGGGUUAACUUCUGUUCUUCUGCUUCCCGGCUGUGUGCGUCCUUGGGCAAGUUACUCCCUGAACCUCGGUUUGCCCAGCUGUCGGAUGGGGACAGACUAGCAGUAAGAGCCUCUUCUUGGGGCUUGGCUGGACCCAUUUAAGGAGACAAGGCCGGCAGCUUUGGCACAAUGCAGAGUGGUGCUCUCUCGAUGGGACAUUUUAUUACUAUUUGGGCCAUAAAGAAGUCCACAAGUAACUGGAGCGCUGGGCACAGCAAGAGAGUGUCUCAGCUGAAGACGCCUAAGUAAGCCAAGGGCUCAGAAGGCAGGAUGACUUGGGGGGCUGGUGGGGGGCCAUGACACUUCAGGGGCCACGCGUCUGAAGGCCCAGCGCAUGGCUUCCCUAAGGCACACACACACGUGGACCCACCAAGGUCAGGGCUGCAGCUGUCCUUUAACUGGGCCAGGGGGAGCCUGGCCGUUUGGGUCAGGGGGCUGGCACCCCGGAGGGCACCCUCCACCCUCCACCUGGCUGGAGCACAGUUUUCUCUGAACCAGCAAAGCAGCAGGCAGGACCUGCUGCUGCGUCCCCAGGAGGGCUGGCCUCUGUGGGGACAGCAGGGACAGACCAAGGGGAGAGACAGACCAGGGUGGGAGGGAGGGAGGCCUGGCAUGCAGGUCCCCUCCAGAGACGAAUCAGGUCCUUGCAGAAGCUUUGUGCCCAUGGGGUCCUGGGCAUCUCAGAAAAUGGUCCAAGGGCAAGGGGGAAAGGGAUGGGGGUCCAGAGCAUCCUAUUCAUUGCUGCCUUGGUGUCACUACCUGGGGACUCAAGAACUGGUCUGCAGUCAAAGGGAGUUCUGGCUCAGGCUCUGAGCCGGUGACUGGAUCCAGGCCAGAGUGGGUGCCUUGACCGCAGGACCCCUCAGCCAACCACAAAGUGACAGUUGGCAUUGACCGAGCGCUUAGCACGUGCCGUGAGCUUGCAGGUAUGGUCUCCCAGCAAUCCUAGGAAGUAGGUGUCUGUUAAGUUCAUUUUUUACAGUUGAGGAGACUGAAGGUCAGAGAGCUUAAGCUGCUUCAUGUACUUAGCCAUCCGUGAAGCUGGAACCCAGAGCCAGCUUUGCCGGACAACAAGCUCCAAACCCUUAACUAAGUGCCCCGAGCCACCUCCGUGGUGGACCAAGAAACCAGCAACAAGGGGUGUGUUGGGGUGGAAACCCCGCUCGAGCUGACAGGCUGCCUCUGGCAAUGCACCCAUUUCACAGAUGGGCUGGCAGGCUUUGCUUCAGUGACUUGCCCAAGGCCACACUGCCAAGGAGUGGAGUCCAUUAAAAAAGGGAAACCUUAGCGUGUGGGAGCUGGAAGGGGUCUCUGAGCGCUUCCUGUCCACAGCUCAUUUCCAGACAGAGAAACCGUGGCCCAGAGAGGGCAGGGCCUGGCCCUGGCUGGAGCUCUUUCUCCAUCAUCUCGGGCCAUAGGUCUCUCCCCAGGGAACUGCUGACCCUUAACCUGUGAGUUCUGUGGAGCAUUUGAGAGGAAAUGGAAGGCAGACUGGGGAGAACGGCAAUUAAAUACGAGUGUCCAGGUGCUCAUCCAGAGGCCAGUGAGGACUCCGUGACCGGCCACCAAAUUUCCUGCUGGGCUUCCCGGAGGAGGGCGGAGGGAGAGGAGUAGAGGUGGGCGAGGGGGAGAAUGCAGCCGAAGUUGGUCCAGCUCACAGCCUUUCUGCUGGGUCCUCCCAAGUCCCAGAGCUGACUUGCCCCCCACCCCGGCCCCAUGGCGGGCAUAGUAGGGGCAGGGCGGGGGACUGAGGGGUUCUGGGGCUCCUCUUACUGCCCCAGCCCGGCAGGAGUCCCUUGAUAACCAGGAGGGAAACUUCCUGCGCCCUUCCCCUCCAUUCUCUCCACUCCCCUCCUCCCCUCCUCCAACCAAGAGGGGUGCUUGGCAGAAGCCCCUGAAGCCACAGCUCCUCGGUUUUGCACCUGAAAAAUGGGGGUGCUGCUCCCCUCUCUAGGUCCUUCAGGGCAAGAAGCUGGGAGGCCAGCAGUGUGUGAUCCUAACACUGAGACGGAGCCUGCGGUUCUGAGUCAGCGAGUCUAACCUGCGCUCACUCCUCCCGCCGAGAUUUAUCAGGCUCCUGGUGCUGUGGGCAGCCCUCCGCUGGGGACCCGGUGCCAGGUGGCAGUGGAGCAGAGAGACCCGGGGCUACCCUCAUGGACCUCCCCGUCCCAAAGUCCAGUUCCCAGUCUAAGGGUCAAAUGUCAUGAGUCUAAGACAGGCUUAUUCGCACAAGAGUGGUUCUAACAGACCCAAGAUGUUUCUGGAAGGAGGAAGGAGGAAGGAGGGAAGACAGGGUGUGGAGAAAGGCGGGGUCAGGCAGGGUGCUCAUUUUCAUGUACGUUUUCAGUGAAUUUAGUCUUCUAGGAUCCUCACAUCUAUGAACACGAACGCCUUAAAUACCACGGCUGAUAGAAUAAUAGCACUUGUCUCUUGCAGCGGGCCCUCCACCCGGGCAUCUCAAACGCUCUGUGAACAUUAAUUAAUUAAGCCCCAAUUAAAUAGUUAUCAGUGCCUGAAAAUACAUUUACUGCACACGUUCGACUGGCUCCUGGUUUCCUGAUUGUUACUCACCCCUGCUGUCAUCACUGUGGAAAUAGAUGAACGAGGGCGUUUCAAGACGGGGUUCCUCUCUGCCGGGGCGCACAGAGCUGCUGGGGGACUGUCUGCUGGGGACAUGGGUUCCAAGGGCACAGAAUGGGCCCCCAGGUCUUGUCCGUUGUCUGUCCUCUUGCUUCCUUCCAUGCUGGGAGCUUCCUGGGAUGGACCGUGCAUACCAGACUCUUCCAGAAGAAAAGUUCUAGGUCAGCAGCGGCCUGUUUCCCACUCCCGCGGUGUAGGUCUUUCCCUUUCCGCUUCUCGUUUGAAGAGCAAGUGGGUCCCUGAGGUUGCUUUAAACUCCCAGUUCAGCCAUCCUCUGGGGUGUCCUGUCCAGUGGUUUCAGGCACCUCUUCUCUGGCUUCUCCCAGAGGACAUUUUUCCCUGGAGGAAGCGCUGCUUGGCCAAGUCCUGUGCUGGCAUCGGGGUGGGGAUGAAGGAGAUGUCCCAUAUACAGCGCAAGGACCUGCUGUGUGUCGGGCAGGGCUGAACCUCAGUGACGGGGGCAGUCCUCAUUUCCCUGGGACACUGCGGACCUGGGCGUGGGUGCCUGGCAUGGAGUCUGAGAUCCUCUGGCCGUCCUAGUGCAGAACAGCAGGCAGGAGCAGAAGCCCCCACUCCAGGAUUGGGAUGAGGCAGCGCAAAGAAAGGGAGACGUAAACAGGACCAACUGGGAGUGAGGGACCCCACAGAGGCAUCUGAGGAGCAGAGAGAGAAGGCGAGUUUGUUUUUCACGGUGGCCACGGCCAUGGGUGUGGAAUUUUGAAGAGAAUGCAUGUACAGAGGAGUCCAGGGACCGUGUGAGAAUGCUGUGCCACGCCUACCUUCUUUCUUGGGGCUUCCAUUUCUUGAAAUUGACUGGGACAUGUGGUACCUCUGCUGGUACUUGGGUUCCCAAUACAGCUGAAUUUGCUUAGGAAAAAAGGAGAGCCUAUGAGCUCACAUGUGAAAGCAAACAGUGAGAAGAGCAGGAAUGGAGCAGACCUCUGUGAGGACUGGGACAUGGGACUCAGGCUCUUCCAGAUUCCAGCUGUUCCUGCCUGCCUCUUUCUGCCUCUGAGGAACGGCUCAGCCUCAUUCCUCUCCACUGCUGUGGGGAGGCGAGCGGGAUGAUUUGCAAAAUACUGAUUCAUUUUCUUUAAUAGUCAUUGACUUAUUUAGUUUUUUUCUUCUUCUUGAGUAAACUUUGAUCAUCAAUAUUUUUCUAGAAAUCCUCAAUUUCAUAUAUUUUCAUAUAUAGUAGCAUAAAGUUGGUCCUGGGAUUCUCUUAUAAUUCUUAAAACUUCUACUGUAUCUGUAGUUUCAUCUUCCUUUCAUUUUUAAUAUUAGAUAUUUAUGCCUUUAUUCUUCUUUUCCUUCAUUAAUCUUGCUAGAUGUUUGUCUAUCUUAUUGUCUCUUCAAAGAAACAGCUUUUGGCUUUGUUGACCAUUUUUGUGAUUGUUGAUUUCCUUUUCAUUUCUGCUCUUAUCUUUAUUGUUUACUUCUUUCCACUGUUUUUUUUAAAAGCGUCUUUAGUUAGUCAGAGCUCUACUCAUGAAUGUUUAAAUCAUUCUUGUUUUAGAGUAAAGGCACUUAAGACUACAUAUUUCUCGAUAAAUGUCAUUUUAGUUCCAUUCUACAAAUUUUAUUUUGCAUUUAUCCUCAGUACCACAUAUUUUGUAAUUCCCACUGUGAUUUCUGUCUGUGUCUUUGAGGGGGCUCAGGAAAUCACUUCCCUUUCCUCCCCUGGAUUCUGAACUGAGAUGAGAUGAAGAGUGGGGGCCCGGGAUCAUCUUUUGUUUAUUUUUAACUGAUAAAGACAAGGUUGGAGGAUGAGGGUGGAUGUGACAGGCAAGUGGGCUCCCUAAUACUGAAAAUGGGGACGUGGCAGCCUCCACCCCAGUCCCUGUGAUGCUGUGGGAGGUGGGUGGGGAACAGAGAAGGACCGCUGCCUGCAGGCAGCUCACUCCAGCCUUGGUAAGUCAGGCAAGGCCAUUUUAUCCCCCCACCCCCACCCCCACCCCCGCGAGGGACCAAUCGGCCAAGUCACUCUCUUCCUCUUUGGAUCCGAGGAUGCAAAAGGGAGAAAGACUGGGAGUGUUACUCUAAUUCAGCUCCCUCCACGUGGAUGGAAACAUCAGGACUAGGACAGAAAUGUUCCUACAACAAUUUCCUCUUGGACCUAUGAGUCACUGAGGAGUGUGCUUUUUAAUUGUCAAAGAUGUAACUGUUGCUGGUUUUAAUCUGCCUUGGUAAUCGUCGUCGACGUCUAAUUUUGCUGCAUGGUGGGUAGAGGAUGUGGUCUGCUUUACCUCAACUCUGACGUUUGUUUAGGCUUUCACAUAUGACCUGACACAAGGGCGGUUUUUAUAAAUGUUCCACAUGUGCCUGACGGUCAUGCGCUGUAUCGGUUUGCCAGGGCCGCCGUAACAAAGCACCACCGAGCGGGCGCUUAAACCACAGAGGUUUAUUUUCUCGCGGGUCUGGAGGCUGGAAGUCCCAGACCGGCGCGUGGUGGGCAGGGGUGGUUUCUGCAGAGCCUCUCUCCGUGGCUUGCAGACCACUGCCUUCUUGCUGCGUCCUCCCAGGGCCCCUCCUCUGUGUGGCACCCUGGUGACUCUUGGGGUGUCCAAAUUUCCUCUUCUUGGGAUCGGCUUAGGGCUCACCCGAAAGGCCGCCUUUUAACUUAACCACCUCUUUAAAGGCUGCUUCUCCAAACUCAGUCACCCUCUGAGGUCCUGGGGGCUAGGGCUUCAGCAUGGGAAUUUUGGGAGGAACACAGGUGUGUCUUCCUUGUCGGAGCAGCUCAUCUCAGCUCGGACCAGCCCCGUCUCCACUGCUCAGGAGCCACAUGUGGCCUGCGGCUGCUCCAUUACCACGUGUCUGAAGUUAUGGGUACCUCUGUCCUCAGCAGGAGACAAGCACUGGAACAUUCAGUAUCCUCUGUAUUCCCCUCCCCACUUCCUUGUUCUUUUUUAAUAUCAGUUUUAUCAAUAUCUAAUUUACAUAUAAUACACGUACAAUUUCGAUGAGUUUUGAUAAGUGAAUAUAUCCAUGUAAACAUCACCGAAAAGAAGAUAGCAAACAGCUGAUUUUUUGCUCUCUUUCACUUUAGAUUAAUUUUGCCUUUCCCCAGAUUUCACAUAAAUGGACUUACACAGGA